rnacentral:lncRNA from 1 species
UUUGGACACUGGAAUAAUAUAAUCGAUUAUGCCAUCCAAAUAAUCGAUUAUUCUUGAACAGAAUCUUCCGAUUUUGUAACGGUAAAAGGAUAAUCGAUUAUGCAAAUCCAAUAAUCGGUUAUCCUUGCAUAAAAUCAGCAUAAUUGAUUGCCAAUUAAGCAACAGACAUCCACCAUUUAACCCCUAUAAAAAGAGGUCUUUUGAGCUGAUUUUAAACACACAACACCUCCCAAUAUUGAUAUACANNNNNNNNAUUGAUUGCCAAUUAAGCAACGGACAUCCACCCUUUAACCCCUAUAAAAAGAGGUCUUUUGAGAUGAUUUUAAACACACAACACCUCCCAAUAUUGAUUAACAUAUUGACAUUAUUUGAGCAUCAUUUUAGAGCUUUUGUGGAGCCAUUUGAGAGACAACUUUGAGUUGUUCAUAGA